AUACUUACCUGCACGGGGUCAACGGUUGAUCAAGAAGAACUGCGGCCUAAGAUAGUGACCUCCAUUGCACCUUAAGGAGGGGUGCUUAUAAGCUUGAGGUCUCUCCAAGUGAGAGAGCCUGCGUCAACC